GGUUUUAGAGGAUUGGCACUUGACUUCAAUGUGUGGAGACCAUUGGUGCAAGAACUGAGAGACACAAGAAAGAAUUAAGUCAGGAAGAGCUGGAUUUCUCUUUGGUGACAGGUCAUCUUCUGACUGCUAAACCUCAUCACAUACCUCUGGUGUGUCUCAUAACCUCAUAGCCUGAGGUCGGUCCUGAGG